UCACCAAAGGUGCGUGCAACCAUUGGUAGGCUCAGGCCAGUGAUGGUUUAUAUGCAUGAUGCGUGCCUAGGAUUACGGCAAUUGGCUCUAAACCGCAUCCAAAGAGAGGAUGUAUAAGCAAGAUUCUGCAAGCUUCAGUCAGAAAAAGAAAUUACCCUAUCACCUCAAGGACAGACACAAGCAAAGAGAAGUUUUAAAGAUCCCUGAACUGAAGUCACACCCUUGGGUGGUUUCUGUUGAAACAAAAAGGUUGUCCUUUGCCUGCUUCCUGAAAACUGGGGGCUAAAAUUAAAGAUAUUUACCUGGUCACAGGAGGUGGGGGGAACUUCAGCACUUGUUUUUAUGGGUCUUCAUCAGCUUCCCCAUCAUUAAGUUGCUGCAUGUCUUCACAGGGAUGACUAACAGUUCACCAGGAAGGUGUGUGGACCACUAACGUCACAACUUUUAUCAAGGCAAAGCUGGCAUUAGUGUGCAUGCACUGGAUGUCAACUAAAGAGACACUGGCUCCUGUCUUUAAUGACACUCAGAGAAAACACUCAAGGACCACUGAAAAGCCACAAAGAAUGCCACAACUUUGACUUUCUUUUUUCAAGAUGUUUUAAGCAAAGCUACUGCCCUGGGAUGCCCUUUCAAGUCCUGCAUUUACUUGCUUUUAACGCCUGAUAUUUACCAACUGUCAGGACAAGCAUCCUUGCAAACAUUGUAGUCAGCAUGUACAGCAGCAUAGGAUGACAGAUCCCAGCAUGCUUCCAGGGAAAUUUACAUUCCUUAAACAUAACAAAUCACCCAUAUUGCUUUAAAUAUUCUUUUCAAGUAUAUUAAAGAUUAAUGAAAAACCAAGACAAAAAACCAUAUAGAAGCAGAAAAGCAGACAGUUAAAUAAUUCUUAUUUUGGACAUCUAUCAGCUAUACAAAAACGUACUUUUACAGUCAAUCUGGCUUUUAUUAAGCUAUUGUGAGGUGCUGCCAUAUAUUAAUAAAUCAGCAUAUAUUAUGGAUUAAUUCCAUACUAAGACAUGCUUCCUAAAAUCCCAGCUCUGUAUGGAGCCGUUAUUCCCAUAAGGAAAGCUGUCUGGCUAUUCAGUUUUAUUAGUUCAAAUGAAGUCAAUUUUUGGAACACCUAAGGUCAUUUUUCUCCACUGUCUAGAGCUGACAUUAUCCAUUUGUGUUUCUACAUAUUCCCUGCAUGAUACACCUUUCUCAUGGUGAUUUGGAGCCCAUCUCCUGGCAGCAUCAGCCCGGCAUUGCCACCGCUUCUCUGUUUGAGCCUGUCCUCCAGGCCACUGGCUUCUCUCCCACUUUUUUCAUGUCUUCAUCAGAAUUUACACAUUCUUUCCUUUUAUUUUUUUAAUGAAUCCAUUGUGAAAGCAGACGCAGAUAAUAUCUUUCAGUGGAAGACAGUGAUAUAAAUUAAACUUUAAUCUGUUCCUUGGAAAGUUUGCAGAGAACAUCGUUGGAGGAUUUAUUUCUUCUAAGGAAACUCUCCCAAAUGAAACACACCUCAGGCAGCAGUCUUAAGAUCCCACUUUUCCCAGCAUGUAAAGCUCCAUGGGAGAUUUGUUGUUAUGCUAGAUGGCACAGUAAGAUAUUAUGGCAAUGGAUUUAGGGGAGUGCUGGAGCAAGGAACAAUAGACUAUAAUAAUUUGGAGAAAAAUUCAGUUUUAUGUAUUUUUCUGCAUAAUAAGUAAAACUGUAAAAGACCAGCUGUGAAGUCACAUGAGUGCAGCCUGGGUUCGGGGGCUGGGGGGCUUGCUGCAGUCCAGGGGCAGUGGGGCAUGGCCCUGCAGAGGCACUGUCUCCUAUUCAGCAGCCCCUUGUUCCCACAGGGGGCAAGAGUCUGGGAUCGCUAUGCUAGACAGGCACGGAUUUCCCAGAGCAGGCAGGGGGGGAAAAGGGGCGCAGAGUGCUCAGGCUGGGCUCUUGGUGGGCAUCAGAGGUGGGAGCGAGGGCAAGGCAAGGGCACCUUACCCACCUCCGGGGUCUUCACAAAGGUGCAAAGGCUCCAGGAAAGGAAGAUGCAGCGUGGGGGACAGCAAGUCUGCAGGAACCGUGCUUGAAGAGCUGCAGCUGCUAAAAACGAGUUGGUGGCUCAUGCAGAAUGGCCAUUUCUAGCCACACCAAGGAGGGAGCGGGGAGAAGGCGGAGGGGGGUUCCUCCCACCUGCCAGCCCAGGCUAAGAGCCCACCAGGGCUGACACGGUGAGGGGCUUCCACAUGGCCAUGCACCAUGCCCUAGGGUCAGACCCUGGUUUGGGGCCGGCGUGCAUAAAUCCCGAACAGGCUGCAGGAGAUCUGCUGGCAGGGCUGCGAGCUGGACUGUCCUGCCCUAGGGAAGCUCCCCCUGCCUGAGUGCUUAAAUGCCCAAACGAGGAAGCAAAGAGCUGCUAGCCUUUGUCAUGAGCCUGGUGAUAAGCUGUCAAAAGAGGAUCAGGUUGGUCAACAAUGGAAUUUCUGACUAGAAGCGAUAAUGCUCUGAAAUAUGUUUCCGUUCUGAACUUGAACAAAACAGCAAUAUUUUUUUCCAAAACAAGUGCAAUUAUAACCAGCAAUUCUUGUAAAAUACAUUUUGAUUGGACUUCAGAGGGAAUGGAAAAGAUUCUUUUGGGGAUGUGGCUUGUGUUCAGGGAUUUGAUUGUUUUUUAACUGUCAGCGCUGCCUCUUCCAGCUUCUAAUUUUUGCAACAUUACAUGACAAACUAGUCUCACUCCCAUCAUUCAUACAGAAUACAGGACUAGAAAUACUCCCUAUCAUUAUCCAGUCUUGAAGGAGAGCUGCUCCCGAAUGUUUCUUGGAAAAAUAAAAAACAAACAACGUCUCUACCUGAUUUGCCUGGUGGCUUAUAAAUCAGCCACUCACAGUAACGCACACACAAGAAAAGCUUCGGAUGAAGGACAAACGUCAAAAAGGGCCCGAGUUAAUGUGAAACACGCGUCAGGCAGCGACGGGAAUGGCACGCCAGGCCUUACCUG